GAGUUUGAUCAUGGCUCAGGACGAACGCUGGCGGCGUGCUUAACACAUGCAAGUCGAACGGUAAGGCUCCAGCUUGCUGGGGUACACGAGUGGCGAACGGGUGAGUAACACGUGGGUGACCUGCCCUGCACUUCGGGAUAAGCCUGGGAAACUGGGUCUAAUACCGGAUAGGACCGCACCGUGAGGGUGUGGUGGAAAGUUUUUUCGGUGUGGGAGUGGGCCCGGCCGGCCUAUCAGCUUGUUGGUGGGGUAAGUGGCCUACCAAGGCGGCGACGGGUAGGCCGG
rnacentral:rRNA from 1 species